GGCUUAGGGUUUUCCGAGAUUGAAUGAAUGAAAUUGAGUAAUGCGAUGAGGAGGAAGGAGAUUAAGCGUCUGUUUGGUUUGGAGUUUUACAAUCCUAAACGCGAGUCUUCAGUUUCCAAACGUGAUUCUGAGCAUUUCUAGCUUGUUUGGUUAAAAGCAAAAGUGAUUCUUUCCACGCGAUUUACUGCCCCAGACGUGAGUAAUUUGGAAGCUACAAUUUGAAGCUUCCACGUCAAAGUAGAAUCAAAUCCAAGCUAGGUCACAUGUAUACUUACCUAACUACCCCUAACUUCUUCUUCUUCUUCUUCUUCUUCGAUUCACCUGAAUAUUGGAGCGCUGUGAAAACAACAAGGUAAUCGAGUCUGCCGGCUGAGUCACGAACUCAACUCGGAUCACUUUGACUCGGUUCAACACAAAAUCAAAGCACUGCCUAUGGAAGAAACUCUUCGGAAUCUGAAUUUGUAGUUCGAUUGUGAUAAUUUGAUAAAAGUGGAAGAUGAAGAGAAAUAGGUGAGGAAAACAAUCAAUUUCAUAUAAGUUUCAACAAAAUGAGUGUCUGCCUGCCAUGAUUGUUGUUUCAAGAGGAAGAAGCCAAAACAAGAGAACAAUGGGUGAAGAGUUUGCGGUGAAAAAUUGUUGAUUGCAUGACGGCGAGUCGGUGUCCUGGAUCUGUUUGAAGGUGGUUUUGUGUGAUAAUGCGAUGAGAGAUUUAGGUUUUGUGUCCUGGAUCUGUUUGAGUAAAAAGAUAUAUUUGGGUAGUUGAUGACAUAUUUUUUUUUUUUUUUUUUUUUUU
rnacentral:lncRNA from 1 species